UUAUGGCCACAUCACGUUGAAACACCGGUUCACCUGAGAUCACCAAAGUCAAGCAAGAACGAGCCUGGUCAGUAGGUAUAUGAGUGACUGCUUGGGAAUACCAGGUGCUCC